rnacentral:rRNA from 1 species
CCUACGGGAGGCAGCAGUGAGGAAUAUUGGUCAAUGGCCGAGAGGCUGAACCAGCCAAGUCGCGUGAGGGAAGACGGCCCUACGGGUUGUAAACCUCUUUUGUCGGGGAGCAAAGAGAGUCACGUGUGACUCAUUGAGAGUACCCGAAGAAAGAGCAUCGGCUAACUCCGUGCCAGCAGCCGCGGUAAGACGGCGGAUGCGAGCGUUAUCCGGAUUUGUUGGGUUUAAAGGGUGGGCAGGCGGAGGUGCAAGUCAGCGGUCAAAUUGAGAGGCUCAACCUCUUCGAGCCGUUGAAACUGGUUUUCUUGAGUGAGCGAGAAGUAUGCGGAAUGCGUGGUGUAGCGGUGAAAUGCAUAGAUAUCACGCAGAACUCCGAUUGCGAAGGCAGCAUACCGGCGCUCAACUGACGCUCAUGCACGAAAGUGUGGGUAGCGAACAGGAUUAGAUACCCGUGUAGUC